GCCCUGGUGGUGGAAUUGGUAGACACAAGGGAUUUAAAAUCCCUCGGCGUUCGCGCUGUGCCGGUUCAAGUCCGGCCCGCA
rnacentral:tRNA from 1 species